rnacentral:rRNA from 1 species
UACGUAGGUGGCAAGCGUUGUUCGGAAUUAUUGGGCGUAAAGGGCGCGUAGGCGGUCUUGUAAGUCAGCUGUGAAAGCCCGGGGCUCAACCCCGGAGGGUCGGCUGAUACUGCAGGACUGGAGUACGGAAGAGGUAGCUGGAAUUCCCGGUGUAGCGGUGAAAUGCGUAAAUAUCGGGAGGAACACCUGAGGCGAAGGCGGGCUACUGGGCCGAUACUGACGCUGAGGCGCGAAAGCCAGGGGAGCCGAACGGG